rnacentral:lncRNA from 1 species
CUACAACUUACCCAUGUUCUGAUGUCAUUACCUUGUGUUUCUCUGUACCCCACCUUUCUUUUCCACAUCUGGCUGUUGCUGGUAGACACUUGGUAACAAUCAGUAUAGGGAAUUGAGACACAGGAUGGACUGUGUCUCAUGUUAUGCAGAGAGUUGGAGGGAAGCUCUCAACUGGCCACCAUUUCUUACAAUGUGCAGUUCCAACUUAAGAAGAAUGAACUCUGGUCUUGUUCAGAUAGCAGCACACUGUUGAUGUAUGAUGUAUACAGUUAUUGUAUUUGGUUUUUACUGGAAGUGCAAAACCUUCAGUUGAUCAGUAGCUGUGGUCUAAAAAAAGUCAGGUAUGUAACAGGAUUCUUCUGUUUUAACAGCAGUUUGUACCCCUGGUCUUGUCAUUUCCAACAGAACAUGGGUAUUUAUGGCUUCUUGAGUGCCAAUUUAAAAAGUAUUCAAGUGAGUUGUGAACAGGAUUUUUUGUUUAUUCUCUCAUUGUGGGAACAUAUUUUUCAUCCCUCGUGAUUGUAGAGAAAUAGCGAUGACAAGUUUCUUUGGAAAAACAUAGACAAUACAGGAGAAUUAAGUCGAAAUUGUGGUGGUUGCAGAAAUAACCUUUUCCAUGGGUCAACUCAGGGCAGUAAGUUACUGUACCCCUGUUGUUACAGUUGUUUUCCUUCCUCCUACAUUUUUCUGAGUACCAGUCAUUUUGUCUAUACAAAUUAUAGAAACACUCCAUCUCUGACACAAAACAAAAUUAAACAACUCUAUAAACAUAAACUGUGUGAACAACACACAUAAAAAUAAACUGCAGCCAUUCUGCCCCCAGAGUAUAUUUUUAAAAAUGUGAGUCCCAUUGAACAAAAUGUGACUUAUUUUAAGACUACAUAUUCAGCAGAUCAGGCUGUAAGUAACUAAAAUCAAGGAGUGCUAGUUACUGGGCAAAAUAAUGUUUCUCUAAGAGCUGGAAAAUAAAUGUACAUGCUGUUAAGUUAAUAGUUGUACAAUUUGAAACACACUGCAGAACUCAGAUUGUUUGAGGCUAUAGAAUAGGAAUGCAAGAUAACCUAUAUGGACUCAGCGGAUUAUCCUGUUGAGAAACUAGUCCCUAAGUAGUAGGAAGUGCACAAAAAUAAAUAUGGUGCAUGAUUAUAAUUUAUUGUGCAGAUUCUUCCUCAUUGAUAUCUUUCUUUUAGGAAAACAGUUUUUUAACUCAAAAUAGUCUUAAUCCAGUUUUCAGGGGAAAUGUGUAGGCUUAAAAACUGUUAGAGCAGGGAGAGAAGAGGAAGUGGCAGUUUUGUUGCUUGAGUAGAUGUUCAUCACACAACUUUAGGUAUCGCCCAAUAGUUUUACAUAAUAUAGCAAUUUUUUUUAAAAAAACCACAAGAUUAAAUUGGGAAAAAUAAUUUUAGACCCUAGCAACUGAAAUAAACAGCCACAGUGUUCUAUUAUGAUUUAUGGUCGCUUUAGGCCCCUUUUGACAAAUCUUUAGUUGUGGUUAUGCACACUGAAUUGUUGCAUGGAAAACUUCAGUUUAACUUCUAACAUGAUUGCACCUUGACCAUACUUUAGAUGGGUGAAAAUGAGCUAUAUAGUUUUACAACUAUAUAAUCACAUAAAAUACCUGCAUGGGCUACUUGUAUGCUACUGCAUCACCUUCAGGAUUCUUAAAGCCCUGAACAGCUUCAGUCAGGAAUACUGUAAGGACAGCAUGAGCUCUUAUAUUCCAGCUCAGUUACUGAGAUCACGUGGAGAAGCAUUGCAUGCCAUGUUCAGAAGCCUUGUGAGCAGUUGCAUGCUGUGGAAUACUCUUCCAGCAGUGAUUUGGUAGUGUCCUUGCUGCUAAUUUCCAGGUGUCUCUUGAAGGACUUUAUAUGUCUACAGGCCUCGUCACUUGUUUAAACUUUCCAAAGUGAGCCUGUCAUUUUUUUGAUUAUUUUACAUGGUAUUUUAUGUUUUUGUGUAUUUUCUUGUACACCACCUAAUUAUUUUAUAUGAGAGAAUAGUAGAUCAGUAUUUUAAUAAACAAAUAGUGUGUAAGCGUUAAUUCCAACAUUUCUUCACAAAUUUUGUAUCUGGAAAAGCAACAAGCAGAUAGUUAAGUUCCCUUCGCACACUGGUAAUUAGUAUUUAUAAAAUGGAAUAUAUUGAAAACAUAACCAGGGUUUAUAUUUGUAGUGUUUCAGUAUAACAGAAGAAAAAUAUUUAACAAUUUUUGUCUCUGGUUUUUUAUUCUGCUUCUUUUCUCUGUCUUUCCUGUUUUCUUCUUCUGUCUUGUGUCUCCUAUCUACAAAACUUGCCCUAGGCCAGUGUUACGUGGUGGGUCUGCUGCUGCCACUUCCUCUAAUCCUCAUCAUGACGCCAGGUAAAUCUGCACUUAGUUAGCCAUUCUAGUCUAUAUUCAGCUUUCACAAAACCUGAGACUAGCUUGCUCCUGAACUUUACUUGAAAGUAAACCCCUCUGAGUUCAGCAGAGCUUGCUUCCUGCUAUUAAUUGAUAUAUGAUCAUUAUUAUCAAACAGGCUGUGAUUAUGUGUACUAAUCUAACUGCUGGUUUCUAUAUUAAUUUUAAAACCCUUUCACUGACAUUCUUUUGCAUUGUACUAUGCCUGCUGAUUCUAUGGAUGAAUCUUAUAAUAAAAGUAUUUGAUGCAUUUCCCAUUGAUUUUAGCAUUCAGUAUAAGACCCGAGCUCAGGUUGGAAAUCUGUUUCAAAAUAACUAAAAAUCUGGUGAACACUCCAACAAAUUUUGCAGUACAUAACACACCACAGAAUUAAAAAGAGAGAAAGGGUGAGAUUCACCUGUCAUCUGUCAACAUAAGGAUGGAGCAAGCUUGUUUUCUCUUGCUCCGGAGACUAGGAGCCAAACCAAUGGCUUCAAGUUACAAGAAAGGAGAUUCCAGCUAAAUAUCGAAGAAAUUUCUAACAGUAAGAGCUGUUCAACAGUGGAACAGACUCCCAUGAGAGGUGGCGGACUCUGCUUUAUUGGAGAUUUUAAAGCAGAAGUUGGAUGGAUCCAGUUGAGGUUCUUGCAUUGUAGGGGGUUGGACUAGAUGGCCCUUGGGAUACCUUCCAGCUCUGCAAUUCUAUGAUUCUAUAAGCCCUGAACAAAGACUUCUGCUUGAGCAAUGGGUCUCCCCCACCUUAAUUGGCUCUGAGUGGAUCAGGAGAACCCAUGGAACAACAAAUGGGGAGGAAGGGGAGGAAUUCAUUCUGACUAGCAAGCUGAAAUGCUUGCACAGACAGAAUGAUUGGAAGAGCAUCAUGUUGAAUUCCACCCCAAG